UACGUAGGGGGCAAGCGUUGUCCGGAUUUAUUGGGCGUAAAGAGCGUGUAGGCGGUUUGGUAGGUCCGCUGUGAAAACUCGAGGCUCAACCUCGAGACGUCGGCGGAAACCCUCUGGCUAGAGUCCGGAAGAGGAGAGUGGAAUUCCUGGUGUAGCGGUGAAAUGCGCAGAUAUCAGGAAGAACACCCCGUGGCGAAGGCGGCUCUCUGGGACGGUACUGACGCUGAGACGCGAAAGCGUGGGGGAGCAAACAGG
rnacentral:rRNA from 1 species